UACGAAGGGGGCUAGCGUUGCUCGGAAUCACUGGGCGUAAAGCGCACGUAGGCGGAUUGCUAAGUCAGGGGUGAAAUCCUGGAGCUCAACUCCAGAACUGCCUUUGAUACUGGCGACCUUGAGUCCGGGAGAGGUGAGUGGAACUGCGAGUGUAGAGGUGAAAUUCGUAGAUAUUCGCAAGAACACCAGUGGCGAAGGCGGCUCACUGGCCCGGUACUGACGCUGAGACGCGAAAGCCGUGGGGAGCAAAC
rnacentral:rRNA from 1 species